CCUUGAAGACGUCCCCCCCAGCAGACACUAACUGGGCGAGCGAGGAGGACGACCACGUGGUGGCCAGAGGAGAAUAUGACUUGACAGCUGCUUCUCAGGAGGAGCUUUCUAUGCGAGCUGGAGAGAUGCUCAACCUCGCUCCUAAAGAGCUACAGCCCCGUGUGCGUGGCUGGCUCCUGGCCAGUGUAGACGGUGAGACCACAUGCUCGUCCCAG